rfam:Alligator mississippiensis ScZkoYb_5, whole genome shotgun sequence.
CCAACGGCUCUUUUCAGAGCCACCCACCAUGUCGCAGGGAAGAGCU